AACGAACGCUGGCGGCAGGCUUAACACAUGCAAGUCGAGCGCCCCGCAAGGGGAGCGGCAGACGGGUGAGUAACGCGUGGGAAUCUACCCAUCUCUACGGAAUAACGCAUGGAAACGUGUGCUAAUACCGUAUACGUCCUUCGGGAGAAAGAUUUAUCGGAGAUGGAUGAGCCCGCGUUGGAUUAGCUAGUUGGUGGGGUAAAGGCCUACCAAGGCGACGAUCCAUAGCUGGUCUGAGAGGAUGAUCAGCCACCCUGGGACGGAGCCACGGCCCAGACUCCUGCGGGAGGCAGCAGUGGGGAAUAUUGGAAAAUGGGCGCAAGCCUGAUCCAGCCAUGCCGCGUGAGUGAUGAAGGCCCUAGGGUUGUAAAGCUCUUUCACCGGUGAAGAUAGUGACGGUAACCGGAGAAGAAGCCCCGGCUAACUUCGUGCCAGCCGCCGCCGUAAUAC
rnacentral:rRNA from 1 species